GGGUCAGUAGGUUGGUCGUGCCACCGGUACGUACUGGUCUCACUGAUUCCUCCUUCCUGAAGAACCGUAGUGCCAUUAAUUUGGUGUUGCGGGGAAACAGGACUGUUACUUUGAAAAAUUAGAGUGUUUAAAGCAAGCUAACGCUUGAAUACAUUAGCAUGGAAUAAUGAAAUAGGACGAUCGAUCCUAUUUUGUUGGUUUCUAGGAUUGACGUA
rnacentral:rRNA from 1 species